AACGAACGCUGGCGGCAGGCCUAACACAUGCAAGUCGAGCGAGGACUUCGGUCCUAGCGGCGGACGGGUGAGUAACGCGUGGGAACGUGCCCUUUGCUUCGGAAUAGCCCUGGGAAACUGGGAGUAAUACCGGAUGAGCCCUUUGGGGGAAAGAUUUAUCGGCGAAGGAUCGGCCCGCGUUGGAUUAGGUAGUUGGUGGGGUAAUGGCCUACCAAGCCGACGAUCCAUAGCUGGUUUGAGAGGAUGAUCAGCCACACUGGGACUGAGACACGGCCCAGACUCCUACGGGAGGCAGCAGUGGGGAAUCUUAGACAAUGGGGGAAAGCCUGAUCUAGCCAUGCCGCGUGAGCGAUGAAGGCCUUAGGGUUGUAAAGCUCUUUCAGCUGGGAAGAUAAUGACGGUACCAGCAGAAGAAGCCCCGGCUAACUCCGUG
rnacentral:rRNA from 1 species